CCACACACGAGAGUGCCUAGGGAUUACCGAGAAUGGUGAGACAAACAAAAAACACCCAGUCAGCGUCAGUCCUAUGGGCGAAAACAUUGACGAGAGGUCGAAGGAGAAUGGCAAGAAUCAUGCAAGCUAACAGGCGGGCCACAAACAGACAACGGUGUCCAGACAACAGUGUCCAGACAACAGUGUCCACACCUAUCAGCUAAAAUCAAGAAGAAGUGGCUCCAGUGAAAAUGCGAUCACCAACACUGGACAACUGAGGAGUGGAAAAACAUUGCCUGGUCCAAUUAAUUCUGGUGUACUGUUGUCUGGAUUUGGACACAUCCUGUCUGGUACAGGUUGGUGGUGUGCUGUUGUCUGGAUUUGGACACAUCCUGUCUGGUACAGGUUGGUGGUGUACUGUUGUCUGGAUUUGGACACAUCCUGUCUGGUACAGGUUGGUGGUGUACUGUUGUCUGGAUUUGGACACAUCCUGUCUGGUACAGGUUGGUGGUGUACUGUUGUCUGGAUUUGGACACAUCCUGUCUGGUACAGGUUGGUGGUGUACUGUUGUCUGGAUUUGGACACAUCCUGUCUGGUACAGGUUGGUGGUGUACUGUUGUCUGGAUUUGGACACAUCCUGUCUGGUACAGGUUGGUGGUGUACUGUUGUCUGGAUUUGGACACAUCCUGUCUGGUACAGGUUGGUGGUGUACUGUUGUCUGGAUUUGGACACAUCCUGUCUGGUACAGGUUGGUGGUGUACUGUUGUCUGGAUUUGGACACAUCCUGUCUGGUACAGGUUGGUGGUGUACUGUUGUCUGGAUUUGGACACAUCCUGUCUGGUACAGGUUGGUGGUGUACUGUUGUCUGGAUUUGGACACAUCCUGUCUGGUACAGGUUGGUGGUGUACUGUUGUCUGGAUUUGGACACAUCCUGUCUGGUACAGGAUGUGUGGGGAAUGUUUUUCUGGCACAUGUUAGGUCCCUUGAUACCAAUUGAGCAACGCAUGGUACUAAAUGUGUGUACCUAAUAAACUGGUAUUGUAUAAAUAAAACACAGGAAAAUCCUAUUUUGGACUAGCCUCAGGAUAGUGUAAAUCCUAUCCAUGUAAUGUGUUCUAACCACUGAAACCUCCAGUUGUUGUGCGUCAGUAUGUUGGUGUUUGUAUGUGUAUGUUUUAUUUUGUAUUGUUUGAAAAAAAUAAUAAUACUGUAUUUAAAAAGGAAUCCUUACAGUAUAAGUGUGUGUGAGU